rnacentral:rRNA from 1 species
CAGCAGCCGCGGUAAUACGUAGGUGGCAAGCGUUGUCCGGAAUUAUUGGGCGUAAAGCGCGCGCAGGCGGUCUCUUAAGUCUGAUGUGAAAGCCCACGGCUCAACCGUGGAGGGUCAUUGGAAACUGGGGGACUUGAGUGCAGAAGAGGAGAGCGGAAUUCCACGUGUAGCGGUGAAAUGCGUAGAGAUGUGGAGGAACACCAGUGGCGAAGGCGGCUCUCUGGUCUGUAACUGACGCUGAGGCGCGAAAGCGUGGGGAGCAAACAGGAUUAGAUACCCUGGUAGUCCACGCCGUAAACGAUGAGUGCUAAGUGUUAGAGGGGUUAAACCCUUUAGUGCUGUAGCUAACGCGUUAAGCACUCCGCCUGGGGAGUACGGCCGCAAGGCUGAAACUUAAAGGAAUUGGCGGG